CAGCAGCCGCGGGAAUACGUAGGGUGCAAGCGUUAAUCGGAAUUACUGGGCGUAAAGCGUGCGCAGGCGGUUUGUUAAGACAGAUGUGAAAUCCCCGGGCUCAACCUGGGAACUGCAUUUGUGACUGGCAAGCUAGAGUCUGGCAGAGGGGGGUGGAAUUCCGCGUGUAGCAGUGAAAUGCGUAGAUAUGCGGAGGAACACCGAUGGCGAAGGCAGCCCCCUGGGCCAACACUGACGCUCAUGCACGAAAGCGUGGGGAGCAAACAGGAUUAGAUACCCGAGUAGUCCCUGUCUCUUAUAC
rnacentral:rRNA from 1 species